UACAGAGGAGGCAAGCGUUGUUCGGAAUCAUUGGGCUUAAAGCGCGCGUAGGCGGGUCCGUAAGUGUGGUGUGAAAUCCCACGGCUCAACCGUGGAACGGCUCGGCAUACUGGGGGGCUUGAGGUCGGUAGAGGUGAGUGGAACUCUAAGUGGAGCGGUGAAAUGCGUAGAUAUUUACAGGAACGCCCGAGGCGAAAGCGAGGCCCUGGGCCGAUGCUGACGCUGAGGCGCGAAAGCGUGGGGAGCAAACAGG
rnacentral:rRNA from 1 species